UGGGGAAUAUUGCACAAUGGGCGCAAGCCUGAUGCAGCCAUGCCGCGUGUAUGAAGAAGGCCUUCGGGUUGUAAAGUACUUUCAGCGGGGAGGAAGGUGUUGAGGUUAAUAACCUCAGCAAUUGACGUUACCCGCAGAAGAAGCACCGGCUAACUCCGUGCCAGCAGCCGCGGUAAUACGGAGGGUGCAAGCGUUAAUCGGAAUUACUGGACGUAAAGCGCACGCAGGCGGUCUGUCAAGUCGGAUGUGAAAUCCCCGGGCUCAACCUGGGAACUGCAUUCGAAACUGGCAGGCUAGAGUCUUGUAGAGGGGGGUAGAAUUCCAGGUGUAGCGGUGAAAUGCGUAGAGAUCUGGAGGAAUACCGGUGGCGAAGGCGGCCCCCUGGACAAAGACUGACGCUCAGGUGCGAAAGCGUGGGGAGCAAACA
rnacentral:rRNA from 1 species